AGUGGAAACUUUACCUGCAAGUAUGAGGAAAAAAAGCCUGAGAGGUGGAUCCCGUCCUUCACAAGCCAAGCCGUGUCUAUCAGUAUAAAUGCCCAAAAGAAAGGGAAGAGCUGCUUCCUUCUUCUACGGCUCCUGGUUGUGGGCGGCUGCUUCCUCACCAUCAACAGCCUCAUCCUCCUCUUCUUCUGGGCCCGGGGGAGAACCAAAGACGCCUCGUUCCUGUCUGGAGCCAGCCCUGCCGGGAUCUCCCAGCUGCACGCCAGAUCCCCACACACCCUUCAGGAGGAGAAUAAGUAUGAGGAACACUAAUGAGAGGAAGAUGCUGUGGGCGAUUCCACCCCCUAAAGACCGCUCCCUGCUGAAGACGCAUCCCAAAAGACUGGUGUGCAGCCAAACAGGGAAGAGCUGCUUCCUUCUUCUACGGCUCCUGGUUGUGGGCGGCUGCUUCCUCACCAUCAACAGCCUCAUCCUCCUCUUCUUCUGGGCUCGGGGGAGAACCAAAGACGCCUCGUUCCUGUCUGGAGCCAGCCCUGCCGGGAUCUCCCAGCUGCACGCCAGAUCCCCACACACCCUUCAGGAGGAUAAUAAGUACGAGGAACACUAAUGAGAGGAAGAUGCUGUGGGCAAUUCCACCCCCUAA
rnacentral:lncRNA from 1 species